UUACCCACUUAUCACUCAUCAUCUCUCUCCAUCCCUCUCACACACCCACUGAACCUUUAGGCCUACUACGAACCAUCUCUUUAACACCUGCAGAACCUGUAGAUCCACUGCCGUUGACCAUCUCUUAGCCACUUUCCAGAUUUCAUAUUAAAGUUUGCUCCAAUCAGUGGGACCUUAGCUAUUGCUGGUAUUCCUAUAAAGCGGGCUAGUUUACAAGAAGUAGCAACCUUGUGAAGAAAGUUGGGUUAUACUUGGUUAAAAUGUCGCAUGCCUUGGGUUACUGGUGAUUUUGAGAGGAGAUACAUUUCAUUGCAAGCAUGGUUGUAUAUCUUCUUGAAGAAUUUGUUAUUAUUUGAUUUGCAUUUGAGAUGGUAGA